AGACACCAUUGCUUAUCUGCCACUGGAAGGUGUCGUGCACAUAGGCUGGCUGAUGUUGGCAAAUCUUCCAUUUUCAGCAAGAGUAUAAAAAUCCUGUAAAAUGCCUUAAAAUCUUCAGGCACUCAAGGAUCCAAAUAAAGCGCCUACAGGCUGGCUGGACCUACUGAGCUCCGGCCUUCGUGGUCAGUCUCAGCCUCAGAGCCCUGUGCAUGGAGGAACCUACAUUUUCCUGAUGAUGAAUCAAAUAGGGUCUGAAAUUUUAGUGGCACAGGUCUUAAAAAUGUCACCUCAAACUUCUAUGAAGCCAGAAGAAAUGAAAUAGAAAAAGCCACCUAAAAAGCAGAAAUCUGGAUUGUGAGUGCUGAGACAAAUUUCACAGCAUUGACAUAAAUUUCACAGGAUAUGCUUGGAUACAUCUUCUUCUCCAUCCUGCACAUAGUCUCUUUGUGAAGAGGAGUUGGAUCUUGUCGGUGUGUGCUAAGAUCUUCAUGAGAAACUAUUGCUAACUUACUUUUUUUGGUUAAAAAAAUACAAAAUAAUUACACAACUUCUCUAUACUCUUUCAAUGAUAACAAAUUCCUCAUAUUAAAAGACUGACUCUA
rnacentral:lncRNA from 1 species